CAAUUCCUAAUGACCCAGAAUUGACAAUUCUAGAAUGAUGACUAAACAAAGCCAAAGAAUUGUCUUCUCAACAGAAGUAAAGAAAGGAUGAGACCACAUGUUGCUUUCAGUUCUUAAUUCAAGAAGUGGGAGAAAACUUCCCCUAGGAACUACAAAGAGGAUUUUAUGUUUUCAAGCUGGCAAUGUGAUACAUGGAACUGGGGAGAGAAUCAGUAAGGGAAGGAGCUUGGCCCAAGACUUCUAAGUGUAAGGGAGGAACCUUGGCUACCUUGGAAGAGAGGAGAGCUGGCGGCACUUUAACUGGAGGCAACAUUGAAGCCUGACGGAUGACAAUCCCGAUACAGCAACAACCAGGAAGCCCCAUGUCAUGCAAGUUCAACUUGAAAAAAU